rnacentral:lncRNA from 1 species
GUGAGUUCAGGGCUAUGAGGUUGCCUUUAAAUCUCAGGAAGCACAACAGCAGAGUCGUCACUUCUGAGGUUUAGCAUUUUGGACUUGCAUUUGCUGUUUUAGGCGUACCCAGCUCUUGUGUGCCCCAAAAUACCGGUAUUUCUCAAGUCUUUUACAAUAUCCUGACAGCCCUAGCCCCCUUAAUCUAAUUUUAGAAAACUUUGUAGGGAUUUUAUAUUUAUAAACAGUUAGUACUUAAAUAUUAUUUCCCUCACCAUAGCAACAGCUCCCCAUCGUAGCAUUCGUUAUACGGUGCUAUUGCAUUGGUGUAUCCCUGUUUUGAGUGAGAAAGCCCUGAAGCCACUCUCUCGUGCCCGUUUUCCUACACCUUGCAAAGGACUGAGGCUCCCGCCUGUCCUGACUCUCUUCCCGGAGCUGGGGGAGAGCCGUACCACCAGCUGCUGCUGGAAACACGCCGGUGGCCCUGGGGUUUCCAUCACUGGUGUCGCUCAGGUGAUGCGCCGGCUCAGGCCAUCCCCUUCCACGGACACAAGCUGCUGAUUCAUCUGCCGUGGCGUAGCCGACCUCGUACCUACGGACCUGUAGUACCUCCGCGACAGCCCUGAGUGCCAUCCCCACGCGGCACACGGGCCUUCGGCAGCUCCGGGUACCCGUGACGGGCACCUGACGUACGCUUGCACUUGCUCAGCACCGCCGGUGAGCGGUGGGGAGGAGCUGGGAGCGGGCGUCCAGCUGGCCCGCGGCCACGGCUGCGCUCCGCUCUCACCGGGGGCCAAGGCGCUAGAAGUGCAGGAAUGGCAGGAUUUCAAGGAGUUUGGCCAAGCGGGGCAUAAACCGGGCCAGGGACCGCUGCCAGGAGGAAAUCAAGGGGCUCACGGCACAUCCCUGCCAUGGCGCUGGCACAGGAGGUGUUACGGUGGCAAUCUCAGCGGUGGAAGUAUUGGGAUUUCCCUGCUGUCAUUUUUAUGCUGGAUCAGUCAGAGCAAAUGCUGUUUGAGGCACUGAGGAGAGCAAGUCUCUGAUGCCAUAAGCAGCCCUGGGAUGCCUGUCCCAGCCUGUGGGAAACAGGUGCCAUCAUCUUCCUCCUGAAGACACCGGGGAUGUCCUGCUUCCUCACAUCUGCACCAACGUGAAGAGACAGUGUAAAGAAACCGGCAGUUUUGGAGCAUAGCUCGUUUGACUUCCUGAGAUGUCUACCUUGGGGUGACCUCAUGUUUCUCUGGUGGGAAUAAGGUGAGAUGAGUGGGCUGGAGAACACGCGUGACAGAAAUGUGGGCAGGAGGAUGGCACACUAGCAACACAGGAGGCAGGAGUUCUCCAGCAGUCAUCCCGAGUUCACCUAGUCCCUGGCGUGCUUGGGCUCACUGCAGGGAGGAAAAGAGGAAAAACCUUUAUCAGGAUGGUCAAUUCUUCCCCAGAAAUCCCUGUGCUCCCAUUGCCUGCGCUCCUUCUCUCAAAGAGAGCAGCC